GCAGGAGUGGCGGAACUGGCAUACGCGACGGGCUGAGGACCCGUGCCCCGUAAGGGGCGUGGGGGUUCGAGUCCCCCCUCCUGCA
rnacentral:tRNA from 1 species